rnacentral:rRNA from 1 species
AGUGAACGCUGGCGGUAGGCCUAACACAUGCAAGUCGAACGGCAGCACAGUAAGAGCUUGCUCUUACGGGUGGCGAGUGGCGGACGGGUGAGGAAUACAUCGGAAUCUACUUUUUCGUGGGGGAUAACGUAGGGAAACUUACGCUAAUCCCGCAUACGACCUACGGGUGAAAGCAGGGGAUCUUCUGACCUUGCGCGAGUGAAUGAGCCGAUGUCGGAUUAGCUAGUUGGCGGGGUAAAGGCCCAGCAAGGCGACGAUCCGUAUCUGGUCUGAGAGGAUGGUCAGACACACUGGAACUGAGACACGGUCCAGACUCUUACGGGAGGACGCAGUGGAGAAUAUUGGACAAUGGGGGCAAGCCUGAUCCAGGCAUACCGGGUGGGUGAAGAAGGACUUAGGGUUGUAAAGCCAUGUUGUUGGGAAAGAAAAGCAGCAGGUUAAUACCCCGCUGUUCUGACGGUACCCAAAGAAUAAGCACCGGCUAACUUCGUG